AAGGUAGCAUAAUCANUUGUCUUUUAAAUGGAGACUUGUAUGAACGGCAAAACCUUUUUUAACUGUCUCCCCUUUCGACCUUUUAAACUUCUACCUGUGUGAAGAAGCGCAGAUAAACCAGAAAGACGAGAAGACCCUGUCGAGCUUCAGCUCAAGGGCCAACAAAACCUCAUAUUUUGCUAUGGCCUAAAAGCUUUGGUUGGGGCAACCAUGGAGAAAAAGAAUCCUCCAGAACAAAUAGAAGAAACCCAUUCUCUAUUAAAUUCCUCCCAAGAACCAGAACCUGGUAAACGGAAAAAGCUACCGCAGGGAUAACAGCGUCAUCCCCUCUAAGAGUCCUUAUUGACGAGGGGGUUUGCGACCUCGAUGUUGGAUUGGGGCUCCCUUAGGGUGCAGAAGCUCUAAACGGUUAGACUGUUCGUCUAUUAAAGCCCU
rnacentral:rRNA from 1 species